rnacentral:rRNA from 1 species
GGUGAGGAUCACGUGAGAAACCUGCCCCUAACUCUGGGAUAACGCUUCGAAAGGAGUGCUAAUACCGGAUAUGAGCCUGGAAGACAUCUUCUGGGUUGGAAAGUUUUUCGGUUAGGGAUGGGCUCGCGGCCUAUCAGCUAGUUGGUGAGGUAAAGGCUCACCAAGGCGACGACGGGUAGCCGGCCUGAGAGGGCGACCGGCCACACUGGGACUGAGACACGGCCCAGACUCC